UCGAGCGGUAACAGAUGCUAGCUUGCUAGAUGCUGACGAGCGGCGGACGGGUGAGUAACGCAUAGGAAUCUGCCCGGUAGUGGGGGAUAACCUGGGGAAACCCAGGCUAAUACCGCAUACGUCCUACGGGAGAAAGCGGGGUUUCGGCCUCGCGCUAUCGGAUGAGCCUAUGCCGGAUUAGCUGGUUGGUGAGGUAAUGGCUCACCAAGGCGACGAUCCGUAGCUGGUCUGAGAGGAUGAUCAGCCACAUCGGGACUGAGACACGGCCCGAACUCCUACGGGAGGCAGCAGUGGGGAAUAUUGGACAAUGGGGGCAACCCUGAUCCAGCCAUGCCGCGUGUGUGAAGAAGGCCCUCGGGUUGUAAAGCACUUUCAGCGAGGAAGAACGCCUUGUGGUUAAUACCCGCAAGGAAAGACAUCACUCGCAGAAGAAGCACCGGCUAACUCCGUGCCAGCAGCCGCGGUAAUACGGAGGGUGCAAGCGUUAAUCGGAAUUACUGGGCGUAAAGCGCGCGUAGGCGGCUUAAUAAGCCGGUUGUGAAAGCCCCGGGCUCAACCUGGGAACGGCAUCCGGAACUGUUAAGCUAGAGUGCAGGAGAGGAAGGUAGAAUUCCCGGUGUAGCGGUGAAAUGCGUAGAGAUCGGGAGGAAUACCAGUGGCGAAGGCGGCCUUCUGGACUGACACUGACGCUNAGGUGCGAAAGCGUGGGUAGCAAACAGGAUUAGAUACCCUGGUAGUCCACGCCGUAAACGAUGUCGACCAGCCUUUGGGUGCCUUGAGCACUUUGUGGCGAANUUAACGCGAUAAGUCGACCGCCUGGGGAGUACGGCCGCAAGGUUAAAACUCAAAUGAAUUGACGGGGGCCCGCACAAGCGGUGGAGCAGGUGGUUUAAUUCCAUGCAACGCCAAAAACCUUACCUACC
rnacentral:rRNA from 1 species